UCGGACGUAGUGCAUGGUGCACACUCGCUGCUUAUGGGGGAUACUGAAAAGCAUUUUACGUGGGAGGACCGGGUUCGACUCCCGGCGUCCGAG